rnacentral:rRNA from 1 species
CGAGCGUUGUCCGGAAUUACUGGGCGUAAAGAGCUCGUAGGUGGUUUGUCGCGUUGUCCGUGAAAACUCACAGCUUAACUGUGGGCGUGUGGGCGAUACGGGCAGACUAGAGUACUGCAGGGGAGACUGGAAUUCCUGGUGUAGCGGUGGAAUGCGCAGAUAUCAGGAGGAACACCGGUGGCGAAGGCGGGUCUCUGGGCAGUAACUGACGCUGAGGAGCGAAAGCGUGGGGAGCGAACAGGAUUAGAUACCCUGGUAGUCCACGCCGUAAACGGUGGGUACUAGGUGUGGGUUCCUUCCUUGGGAUCCGUGCCGUAGCUAACGCAUUAAGUACCCCGCCUGGGGAGUACGGCCGCAAGGCUAAAACUCAAAGGAAUUGACGGGGGCCCGCACAAGCGGCGGAGCAUGUGGAUUAAUUCGAUGCCACGCGAAGAACCUUACCUGGGUUUGACAUGCACAGGACGCCGG